ensembl:rRNA 5S_rRNA 5S ribosomal RNA
GCUUACGGCCACACCGGCCUGAGUACGCCUGAUCUCGUCCGAUCUCGGAAGCUAAGCAGGGUCGGGCCUGGUUAGUACUUUGAUGGGAGACCGCCUGGGAAUACCAGGUGCUGUAAGCU